GAUCUAAAAAGUAGAGGAGGAGUACAUGAGAUAUGGCGUGGCUCACUGUCUAUACCCAACUUAUGUUUUAGUAGGCUGGUCACAUUGAUUGUGGACGACUGCCAGUUUUUAUCAGAUGCAGUGUUACCCUUCCAUUUACUUCCUUUAUUACCUAAAUUGGAAACAUUAGAAGUUCGACACUGUGAUUCCGUGAAAACCGUAUUUGAUGUCAAUCCUUCAACACAAGACACAUCAAUUACUUUUCCUCUGAAGAAAUUGGUUUUAUCGAAACUGCCAAAUCUGGAGAAUGUUUGGAAAGAAGAUCCUCGAGGGAUUCUAAGCAUGCACAGUCAUCUAGAACAAGUGUUUGUUGAUACAUGCAAAUGCCUUAAAAGCGUGUUUCCAGCAUCAGUAGCCAAAGAGCUUGUGAAACUUGAAGAUCUAAUAGUGGAAGACUGUGAGGGAUUGAUGGCAAUUGUUGCAGAUGAAUCUCAUGAUAAUCAAGAAAUUAUAUUUGAGCGGCUUCAGGUUUUGGAUCUUAAAAGAUUGAAAGAACUAACGUGCUUUUGCGCUGGCAAGUUCACUUUAAGUUUUCCAUCUUUAGAGGAAGUCCACGUCAUCAAGUGCAGCUCCAUGAAAAGUUUCAGUGCAGUGACCAAAAUAGAUAAUCCGACAAAGUGGUAUUAUUCAGAAUAUGAGAGACCCCGAAAGGAAACUGACCUUAAUUCUGCUCUCCACACAAAUUUUGAAGAAGAGGCUCCUGAUGCUGCUAGUGCCAUCAUUUCAGUUAUUGAAUAGUUGAGAUUCAGAUACUGAUGGAGAUAGUGAACUCGAUGAUGAUUAAUUAGAAGCAGUUUUUCACAGCAUAACAUGAUGGUUACGUAAGAUUAGGUUGAGCCUCUUGCCGACUCCAACGCAGUAAUUAAAGAGAUUGAAGGCAUAAAAAUGGAUGAAGAUGAAUGUGUCCCCAUUUUAUUAUUAUGUGUGAUUGUGUUUAAGCAAAAAUGACUGUUUUAAAAAAUUGAAAAAAAAAUGAAAAAAAAAAAAUUGUUGUUCUACCUAGAUGAAGAUAAAUGUGUCCCUAUUUUAUUAUGAUUGUGUUGAAAAAAAAAAAAAAAACUGUAUUGUUGUAUCUAGUUGAAGAUGAAAUACAUUAUUUGUAUUAUGUAAUGUGUGAGAUUAAAAGUGAUGAACGGUCAUCAAUAUUGAUUGAAGGUGAACUGAUGAAUUGUCAUGAAUAUUGA